rnacentral:rRNA from 1 species
AGCGAACGCUGGCGGCAGGCCUAACACAUGCAAGUCGAACGGCAGCACAGUAAGAGCUUGCUCUUACGGGUGGCGAGUGGCGUACGGGUGAGGAAUACAUCGGAAUCUACUUUUUCGUGGGGGAUAACGUAGGGAAACUUACGCUAAUACCGCAUACGACCUACGGGUGAAAGCAGGGGAUCUUCGGACCUUGCGCGAUUGCAUGAGCCGGUGUCGGAUUAGCUAGUUGGCGGGGUAAAGGCCCACCAAGGCGACGAUCCGUAGCUGGUCUGAGAGGAUGAUCAGCCACACUGGAACGGAGACACGGUCCAGACUCCUACGGGAGGCAGCAGUGGGGAAUAUUGGACAAUGGGCGGAGGCGUGAACCAGCCAUACCGCGUGGGUGAAGAAGGCCUUCGGGUUGUAAAGCCCUUUUGUUGGGGAAGAAAAGCAGCAGGUUAAUACCCCGCUAUUCUGACGGUACCCAAAGAAUAAGCACCGGCUAACUACGUG